UACAGAGGUGUCGAGCGUUGUUCGGAUUUACUGGGCGUAAAGGGUGCGUAGGCGGAUUCGUGUGUCGGAUGUGAAAUCUCCCGGCUUAACCUGGAAACAGCAUCUGAAACUACGAUUCUCGAGUUCAGGAGAGGAUGGCGGAAUUCUCGGUGUAGCGGUGAAAUGCGUAGAUAUCGAGAGGAACACCCGUGGCGAAGGCGGCCAUCUGGACUGAUACUGACGCUGAGGCACGAAGGCCGGGGGAGCAAACAGG
rnacentral:rRNA from 1 species